rnacentral:lncRNA from 1 species
GGCGCUGAGCUGCCGCCUGCCGCUCUAGCUCAUGGGCAGCGAUGCGGCGGGGGGGGAGAGGUAGGGAGAGAGAGAGAGAGAGAGGAGGCGGAGGGUGGGUGAAACUCAGCUCUGGGUCAGGCUGCUUUUCUCUCCCCGCUGUGCAGAGGGUGGGCAGGGAGGAGGAGGAGGAUGGGCGAACAAAAGGCUGGGAGAUAAGAAAGAAGUAGUCGCUGCUGCUGCUGCUGCGAGGAGGCCGGUGCGGCGGCUGUGCCCGGCUCCGUGCCCCCGCCCGGAUCGUGCCCGCCUCUCUCCUCCCCGCCGCGCUCAGCGCCUGAGCCCGGGCGUGCCGGCACCGCCGCUGCUCCGGCCCCAGCCCUGCUGCAUGCUCUCUCUCUCUCUCUCCCCCUUCACUUUCUCUCUCCCUCUUUCUUCUCCUCCCUCCACCCCUCCCCCUGCACGCACAGCCCUCCGCCGAAGCGCAGCGAUAACAAUACCGAGCAGCCUCUGCCUGCCGUCACUGAGCAAAGUUGUUUUGCGUCCAUGCACCAGAGCUCCCAGCCUGGGACAUAAUAAGAGGAGGAUCUGGCCCCCAGAGAAUCUCAUGAAGUGUCGAUUUUAA